rnacentral:rRNA from 1 species
ACAGGGAUGGCCCCAGUAACGGCGAGUGAAGCGGCCACAGCUCAAAUUUGAAAUCUGGCCCCAGGCCCGAGUUGUAAUUUGCAGAGGAUGCUUCGGGCGCGGUGCCUUCCAAGUCCCCUGGAACGGGGCGCCACAGAGGGUGAGAGCCCCGUACGGUUGGACGCCAAGCCUGUGUGAAGCUCCUUCGACGAGUCGAGUAGUUUGGGAAUGCUGCUCUAAAUGGGAGGUAGACCCCUUCUAAAGCUAAAUACCGGCUGGAGACCGAUAGCGCACAAGUAGAGUGAUCGAAAGAUGAAAAGAACUUUGAAAAGAGGGUUAAACAGCACGUGAAAUUGUUGAAAGGGAAGCGCUUGUGACCAGACUUGCGCCGGGGCGAUCCUCUGGCGUUCUCGCCAGGGCACUCGCCCCGGGGCAGGCCAGCGUCGGUUUGGGCGGGGGGACAAGGACGUUGGGCACGUAGCUCCCCCGGGAGUGUUAUAGCCCGCCGUGCGAUGCCCCCUCCCGGACCGAGGUACGCGCUCUGCAAGGACGCUGGCGUAAUGGUCACCAGCGGCCCGUCUUGAAACACGGACCAAGGAGUCGAGGUUCUGCGCGAGUGUUUGGGUGCCAAACCCGCACGCGCAAUGAAAGUGAACGUAGGUGGGAGCCUCGGCGCACCACCGACCGAUCCUGAUGUUCUCGGAUGGAUUUGAGUAAGAGCGUUGGGCCUCGGACCCGAAAGAUGGUGAACUAUGCUUGGAUAGGGUGAAGCCAGAGGAAACUCUGGUGGAGGCUCGCAGCGGUUCUGACGUGCAAAUCGAUCGUCAAAUCUGAGCAU